UCUAAUUUAUGAUCUUUCUGCUUUAACCUCAUGAGUCCUGGGAUCAUAGAAACAUGCUAUAACUAAAGCUAUUCCAUUUCUCGUCUUUUAAAAAGGCGUUUCCAAUCAGUUCCUAAGAACGGAAUGAAUCCUCUGUGACAAACACUUUGGAAUGGGAGAACUAUAACAAUGACGUCAUAAGAAAAUGGAAAAGGAGUGACUUCCCCCCCAGGCCUCAAGGUGCUGGAAGACAAAUGUGUUGCUUUCCUACUCCUUAUAUUCAUAGUUGCCACAGGGAUUCAGGCAGUGCCAAUUGAAUUUAGUGAUUGUCUAUGAAAAGAUGAAGUUUAUCGGUUUCUAUUUCUUGGAGAUGGAAGCUAGAGGAAGAGAUAGAGCCUAGGGAAAUCAAAGGGAACUUGGAAUUGAACUCAUGGAUGCUUGCUGGCAGGAGGAAGAAAUAGGAGAGCCUGGGAUUUUGGAUGGUUUAUGUGACCCUUACUUCCUAUCCUACCCUCCACAUUCAACUCAAUUAAUCUCAAGUUGAAACAGAUUUAUUUAUAUUUUCCAGAACAUUCUCGCGAUGUUGUCUUGAUUUGGGCCAGUUUCUAAGUGCUUUCUUUCCUUUUGUUUGAAAAGAAACAUGAGCCUCUGGUCCCUAUUAAAAAGGAAGAAAGCAUCAUGGAUAUCCAGCUUCCCUCCAGCUACCCCGAAUCUGAGCAGACUGCAUGACUCAUCUUUCCUAGAAACACAACAAUGAGGUCAUCCUGUCUGCUUCCUUCCCACUCUGAGUACAGUUGAAUUGGGUUCCUCUGUUCUUCCUCUGUUCUCAGAGAUUUUUUUUGAAAAGCCCUCUGCUUGUUAAAAUGCCAGAGUGUUGUUAUAUAAUUGGAAUACAGCAAGAAAGAACACUAGCAGUGAUUGGCAUUUUUUUUCACGCGUCUCAAUUCUCAUCUGCAAAACUAAAAUGUUGUAAGUGGUAGAGAACGUUGUAUCUCAAUCUUGUUUUGUUAUUUUUUCUUGAUGUGGAAGCUCGCUGCUUUCACAGGCAGUUACUUCUACACUGAACAACUCCCCUAGAUUAUAUUAAUUUGCAGGAAACUAAAAUCUGGUACUUGUUGUCAGCCACAGCUUUGCCUUCUACCAUGCUCGUCUCUUUUUAGACCAGUAUCACAUGACUGACUAUCCUCUACAUCUAGAUCCAUCAGAUGUGGCUCACGUCACUUUCAAUGCUUACUUGAGCUGAUUGAUUAAUAAGUUGGGCUGAACUCCACACAAAUUUAAAUAUCUGUAUUCCUGUAAGUAGAUAUUCAUUAAGCUUGGCAAGUUACCAUCAUAGAGCAGAGAAAAUACCUGGACAAAUAUACUUUCUG
rnacentral:sRNA from 1 species